AGUGAACGCUGGCGGUAGGCCUAACACAUGCAAGUCGAACGGCAGCACAGUAAGAGCUUGCCCUUACGGGUGGCGAGUGGCGGACGGGUGAGGAAUACAUCGGAAUCUACUUUUUCGUGGGGGAUAACGUAGGGAAACUUACGCUAAUACCGCAUACGACCUACGGGUGAAAGCAGGGGAUCUUCGGACCUUGCGCUAUUGAAUGAGCCGAUGUCGGAUUAGCUAGUUGGCGGGGUAAAGGCCCACCAAGGCGACGAUCCGUAGCUGGUCUGAGAGGAUGAUCAGCCACACUGGAACUGAGACACGGUCCAGACUCCUACGGGAGGCAGCAGUGGGGAAUAUUGGACAAAGGGCGCAAGCCUGAUCCAGCCAUACCGCGUGGGUGAAGAAGGCCUUCGGGUUGUAAAGCCCUUUUGUUGGGAAAGAAAAGCAGCAGGUUAAUACCCCGCUGUUCUGACGGUACCCAAAGAAUAAGCACCGGCUAACUUCGUG
rnacentral:rRNA from 1 species